CCUACGGGAGGCAGCAGUGGGGAAUAUUGGGCAAUGGAGGAAACUCUGACCCAGCGACGCCGCGUGAGGGAUGAAGGCCUUCGGGUUGUAAACCUCUUUCAGUAGGGAAGAAGCGAAAGUGACGGUACCUACAGAAGAAGCACCGGCUAACUAUGUGCCAGCAGCCGCGGUAAUACAUAGGGUGCAAGCGUUGUCCGGAAUUAUUGGGCGUAAAGAGCUCGUAGGUGGUUCGAUACGUCGGAUGUGAAAAUCAGGGGCUCAACCCCUGACCUGCAUCCGAUACGGUCGAGCUAGAGUUUGGUAGGGGAGACUGGAAUUCCUGGUGUAGCGGUGGAAUGCGCAGAUAUCAGGAGGAACACCGAUGGCGAAGGCAGGUCUCUGGGCCAAUACUGACACUGAGGAGCGAAAGCGUGGGAGCGAACAGGAUUAGAUACCCUGGUAGUCCACGCCGUAAACGGUGGGCGCUAGUUGUGCGAACCUUCCCACGGUUUGUGCGACGCNGCUACGACAUAAGCGCCCGCCCGUCGGGAGGUACGAGCGCGAGAAGUUAAACUUAAAUAGUAGUUAGUUACGGUCGUUGAGACGUUGCCGACGGCGACGACGAGGGAGGAGG
rnacentral:rRNA from 1 species